CCGGCGCACGGGUGCGUAACGCGUAUGCAAUCUACCUUUCACAAAGGGAUAGCCCAGAGAAAUUUGGAUUAAUACCUUAUAGUAUUAUAGAAUGGCAUCAUUUUGUAAUUAAAGAUUUAUCGGUGAAAGAUGAGCAUGCGUCCCAUUAGCUAGUUGGUAUGGUAACGGCAUACCAAGGCAACGAUGGGUAGGGGUCCUGAGAGGGAGAUCCCCCACACUGGUACUGAGACACGGACCAGACUCCUACGGGAGGCAGCAGUGAGGAAUAUUGGACAAUGGGCGCAAGCCUGAUCCAGCCAUGCCGCGUGCAGGAUGACGGUCCUAUGGAUUGUAAACUGCUUUUAUACAGGAAGAAACACUCCCUCGUGAGGGAGCUUGACGGUACUGUAAGAAUAAGGAUCGGGCUAACUCCGUGCCAGCAGCCGCGGUAAUACGGGAGGAUCCAAGCGUUAUCCGGGAAUCAUUGGGUUUAAAGGGUCCCGU
rnacentral:rRNA from 1 species